GAUGAAGAACGCAGCGAAAUGCGAUAAGUAAUGUGAAUUGCAGAAUUCAGUGAAUCAUCGAAUCUUUGAACGCACAUUGCGCCCGCCAGUAUUCUGGCGGGCAUGCCUGUUCGAGCGUCAUUUUAACCAUCAAGCCCCCGGCUUGUGUUGGGGACCUGCGGCUGCCGCAGGCCCUGAAAACCAGUGGCGGGCUCGCUAGUCACUCCGAGCGUAGUAAUACAUCUCGCUCAGGGCGUGCUGCGGGUUCCGGCCGUUAAAAAGCCUUAUUUACCCAAGGUUGACCUCGGAUCAGGUAGGAAGACCCGCUGAACUUAAGCAUAUCAAUAAGCGGAGGA
rnacentral:misc_RNA from 1 species